rnacentral:miRNA from 1 species
UUAAUGAUCACCAAAUUGGCU